GGAAUUUUCCGCAAUGGGCGAAAGCCUGACGGAGCAAUACCGCGUGAAGGAUGAAGGCCUGUGGGUCGUAAACUUCUUUUCUCAUAGAAGAAUAAUGACGGUAUAUGAGGAAUAAGCAUCGGCUAACUCCGUGCCAGCAGCCGCGGUAAUACGGAGGAUGCAAGCGUUAUCCGGAAUGAUUGGGCGUAAAGCGUCUGUAGGUGGCUUUGUAAGUCUAAUGUCAAAGACCAGGGCUUAACCGUGGGAAGGCAUUGGAAACUACAAGGCUUGAGUUGGGUAGAGGCAGAGGGAAUUCCCGGUGUAGCGGUGAAAUGCGUAGAUAUCGGGAAGAACACCGAAGGCGAAAGCACUCUGCUGGGCCUUGACUGACACUCAGAGACGAAAGCUAGGGGAGCGAACGGGAUUAGAUACCCCUGUAGUC
rnacentral:rRNA from 1 species